rnacentral:tmRNA from 1 species
UUGAAAUAUAUUUUCGUUUACAUAUAAUAAGCUUUGUCAAGAAAUUGACUAUGACACCAGAGGCGCUAUGAAAUAGGUUUUCAAGACCCGGGGGCAGUACCCGGCACCUCCACCAAUUACAGAGAUUUUUAUAAUGAAAUUAAAGUUAUAGAAAUUGAGAAAAAAUUAUUUGCUGCGCCGCUUAUUUGUUUUUGAAGCGUACACAAUCGUACGUGAAAAAACUAAUAAGCAAGUAUGAAAUGAUUUUUGCGCGAUUUAUGGGGGUGAAACAGGCUUGAUUGAGGACAAUAAAGAUGGUUUAUGCCGUGUCCGGUGAGAUACCACCGUUAUCGGUUCAAAAUAAAUAAACGCAAAUGAUAAUAAUUUUGCGCCAGUUGCUGUAGCUGCUUAGUGUAGCGUGCAACGCUUAAGAUUCUUAUAGCUUUGGUUUGUUAUAAGUGGGGAGUGAGCCACCCAGCAACAGAACGGCUC